rnacentral:lncRNA from 1 species
UAUAGUGAUUAAUUAUCGAUUUUUCCAUCUGCUGAAGAUUUUCCGUGUUAUAGCUUUAAGAUUAACUUUUACAGAAGCAAUUUAUUUUUCAAAUAAGAAAAGUAUAUAUAUUAUUUACCACGUUAAUCAGUAUAUCUUCUUAGCUUUCACUUUUAAAAAAAAAAAAAAAACCUCUUCUUUAUCUGGGAAAUGUCAAAACUUACACAGACUUGAAUGUGUGAUUUUGUGAUAGAAGCUUUUAGUACUGACUGUCCUUUUAUUGAAGUUUGCCAGCAGUGUGCACUUUUGCCGAAGCUGAAAAGCCUUAGAUCAAUGUGUUGAGCAAUAGCUGGUAGAAUAUUUUAAUAACAUACAUAAACUUAAUGGAAGGAGAGCAACACAAUGAAAUAUAAACCAGUUUUUCUCUUGAAACUUGCUUGAGUUAGUUACAAAAUCUGUUGACUAGUAAAAUGCCUGGUGGAACUAUAGCCUUAUUUAUGCAUUGGAUAUUAGAACUAUAACCUUAUUUAUGCAUCAGAUAUUAGAAACUUAAUAAAAUUUCAGUUUGAUACUCUCAAAUUAUGGGAUUUUUAUUUUUGUAAUUUCUAAAUUACUAUCUAAACAACAAAAUACACACUUGAGUUAAUUAGACAUUUUUCAUGCACUGUUUAUGAAGGAAAUCACCUCUUCAUACAAUGAGUGUCAUGCUUACUCUGGAAAUUCAUGUCAUGCUAGUUGGCACCCUGCCUUCCUUCAUGCCCAGCAUUUUAAUGUUUGAGAACUUACUGCAAGCAUUGUGAUAGAGUAGAAAAGAACCUAAGACGCACUAAAGGGAGGCCAGCCUCAGCCAGUUUUGUGACCUUGACAGUCAGGUCACCUGAAUCACCACACAGCCUAUGGUGUGAAAUACUGAAGAGACAUCCUCCUCGAAUCACUUUUAGAUAGUAUUUCCUUGUGGCCACUAUCCACCUCCAUGGCUCCAUGUAGUGGUGAAAGAUCAGCUGUUGUCUCUGCCACAGUGUGUUGCCUCUGUGGUAAGAUUGAAAGGAACUGUGUGUACACAGAGGACCAUUGGUAAGAAGGCAGUGAGUGGGAGCCUAUCUCAGCGGAGGCGUGGGCUGACAGUGAUGGGGGCACAGUGAGGCUGCAUAUCAAGGGAACUGUGAAAUUUAUAUGUAUUUAUACGUAUAUGUGUAUAUAUAUUUAUCUCUCUCUCACAUAUAUUUAUCUCUUUCUCUCUCUCUCUCUCUCUCUCUCUCUCUCUCUCUCUCACACACACACACACACACACACACACACACGGUUCUGUGUUCAUGCACACUGGAGGAAGGACUCAAAUUUUAUUACAGAUGGUUGUGAGCCACCAUGUGGUUGAACUCAUCACAUCUGGAAGAACAGAGGAACAGCCAGAGUGGUCUUAACUGCUGAGCCAUCUCUUUAGUGCCCCCCCCCCCCCCCAUAACUUUUUAAGUAAAGAGAGUACUGGGGAAGGCGAGCAGAUUGGUUGGGAGAUAUACAGGAGCCCGCAUGGGAAACAGCAGUGGCUUAGAUUUGAGAGAGACCGCCGGGUGAGAGGAGAGGUGAGAGUUUAGGGAGCCAUGGUACUGAGUUUGAUACAGAAUUGGAGAGAGGAUAGAGAGUGUAAGGGUAUUGUUGGUGUUGCCAUCGUUGGAUGAGUUGGAAGGAGUGGGUUUUACGGGGGACUAUUAUAGUAAAAGAGUAAUGAUGAAUUUACAAGUUCUCUUUUGUUCAUUUUAAAUUACGAAGGCUGUGUUCUGAACUUUACCAUUAGAGGAGCCACACAUCUUGAAGAAAUAUUUAUAUCUUAGAGGAAGAGUUGAAGAUUUUUAGACUGUUGGCAAAUUGAAAACAGUAACUGAUG